CCCUAACACAUGCAAGUCGAACGGGGUAAUCCUUCGGGGUUACUUAGUGGCGAACGGGUGAGUAACGCGUGAGAAACCUGCCUUUCAGUGGGGACAACAGUUGGAAACGACUGCUAAUACCGCAUAAUGUUAUUUGGGGGCAUCUCCGAAUAACCAAGCUUUAUGUGCUGAAAGAUGGCUUCGCGUCUGAUUAGCUAGAUGGCGGGGUAACGGCCCACCAUGGCGACGAUCAGUAGCCGGACUGAGAGGUUGAACGGCCACAUUGGGACUGAGAUACGGCCCAGACUCCUACGGGAGGCAGCAGUGGGGAAUAUUGGGCAAUGGGGGAAACCCUGACCCAGCAACGCCGCGUGAAGGAAGAAGGCCUUCGGGUUGUAAACUUCUUUUACCAGGGACGAAGAACGUGACGGUACCUGGAGAAAAAGCAACGGCUAACUACGUG
rnacentral:rRNA from 1 species